UGUGACUCAUUACCUCAACAAAAUGGCCGCCGUCCAGCUGGUGUGUCGGGGAUCAUAUGCAAGAGUGUCAAUGUUUGUACUUUAGUAAGAGAUUCCGCUUUUGCUGGAGUCACCAACGACUCAUACAGGAAGAGAUUCCGCUUUUGCUUCCCAAAUGAAAGAGGCGUGCUCCGCUGUGAAACACAGCAGUAUUUAAUAAUGAAGAAACGCUGAGGCGGACGCGUCAGCCCUUGUCGUGUAAAGACCUGCGAGUCUACCUGCGCGAGGACACCGAGCAAGGACGCCGCAUGUGCUGCUAAGUAUACUUUUUCUUUUCGCCCAUUAUUCCUCUUGCUGUUACCUGUUUACACACACUAACAUACCUUCUUCAGUCCGUCUCUCCCACACAUCCCUCUCUACUGGCGCACACCCUACCUCAUUUAAACAGGCCCGGGUUACCCCACCGCUUAAAGAACCAUCACUUAACCCCGCUGUAGUUGACAACUACAGACCUGUUUCCCUCCUCCCUUUUCUGUCCAAAACUCUUGAAAGAGCCGUUUUGAAUCAACUCUCCAGCUUUCUCCUGGACACUGAGCAACCACUCCACGGAGACUGCUCUGCUUUCCGUCACUGAAGCCUUACGAGAAGCAAGAGCAAUGUCUAGAUCAUCUGUCCUCAUCCUACUCGACCUCUCUGCCUGCUGCUUUCGACACUGUGAACCAUCAGAUCCUCCCGUCAACUGUCUCCAGCCUGGGCAUCACUAGAACGGUUCUGCGCUGGGUGGAAUCCUAUUUCUCUGACAGAUCCUUCAAGGUAUCAUGGAGGGGAGGUAUUUUUGAAACUCAGCAACUCACAACUGGUGUUCCACAGGGGUCAGUUCUGGGUCCACUGCUCUUUUCUAUCUACACUACAUCUCUAGGGCAGGUGAUUGAGUCUCAUGGCUUCUCAUAUCAUUGCUAUGCUGAUGACACCCAUCUCUAUUUGUCAUUCCAGCCUGACGAUCCAUCCGUCUCCUCCUUAAGCUCAGCCUGGCAAAAUCUGAGCUCCUCGUCAUCCCAGCCUGUCCCUCAAUCAACCACAACCUCACUGUGCAGCUCUGCUCAACCACACUCAUGCCAACCAGGAUGUCCAGGAACCUUGGGGUGAUUUAUUGAUGACCGCUUGACAUUUACAGACCACAUCAACAACUGCACGGUCCUGUAGGUUCAUCCUGUAUAACUUCAAGAAAAUCAGACCCUAUCUCACCGAACAGGCUACACGGAUACUACUCCAGGCGCUUGUUAUCUCAAAACUGGACUACUGCAACUCACUACUUUUGGGCCUCCCAGCCAGCUCCAUCAAACCCCAUUAGAUGAUUCAGAAUGCUGCAGCGCGCCUCGUCUUCAACUAGCCCAAGAGAACCCAUGUCACACCCCUCUUCAUCUCCCUCCACUGGCUUCCUGUAGCUACCUGCAUCAAAUUCAAGGCCAUGCUACCCCUAGGUCAAAUUAUUCGUAAACAUGGAAUUAGCUUCCACUGUUAUGCUGAUGAUACACAGUUGUAUGUUUCAGCGAAGCCAGAGGACAGACAGAAGCUUAGUAAAGUUGAGGAUUGUGUAAAGGACAUUAGACAUUGGAUGUUAAUUAACUUCCUUCUACUUAAUUCUGAUAAAACAGAAAUACUUUUAUUAGACCCACGUGUAGCUAGAAGUAAUCUUUCUGAUCACAUGGUUACUCUGGAUGGUCUUUCUGUUUCACCAUGUGCAGCAGUUAAAGACCUUGGAGUGAUUAUUGACUCCAGCCUAUCAUUUGAUGCUCAUGUAGAUAAUAUUACUAGGAUAGCCUUCUUUCAUCUCAGAAAUAUUUCUAAAAUAAGAAACAUAUUGUCACUACAUGAUGCGGAAAUACUAGUUCAUGCAUUCGUCACCUCUAGAUUAGAUUACUGUAAUGCCAUACUGUCUGGAUGUUCCAGCAGGAAUAUAAAUAAGCUCCAAUUAGUCCAGAAUGCAGCUGCUAGAGUCCUAACUAGAACUAGAAGAUACGACCAUAUCACACCGAUAUUAUCAAUACUGCAUUGGCUCCCAGUAAAAUCUCGCAUUAACUAUAAAAUACUUUUAUUAACCUAUAAAGCACUAAAUGGUCUCGUGCCACAAUAUCUAAGCGACCUUUUGGUUUUAUAUGAUCCUCCACGCCUACUUAGAUCAAAAGAUGCAGGUUAUCUGACGGUACCUCGAAUAGUGAAGGCUACAGCAGGGGGAAGAGCUUUCUCUUAUAGAGCCCCACAGUUAUGGAACAGUCUUCCUAUUAGUGUUCGGGACUCAGACACAGUCUCAGUGUUUAAGUCUAGGCUUAAAACGUAUUUGUUUACUCAAGCCUACCCUGACUAGAUUCUGUUCUACUUUCUCCCUCUCUCCUUUCGCCGAGCCCCACACGAAUUUAUGGAGAUACUAGAGAUCCAGAUCCUUUCUGCCUCUGGAUGGAGCUCAAAUCUUCUUUAAUUCCAGACUGCUGGGACUACGGCUGCUCCUAACGCCAUACAGACUUCAUAUAAAUCCAUAAUGAACUUUUUCAAAAUAUCCGUUGUUACCCAGAUGAGGACGGGUUCCCUUCUGAGUCGGGUUCCUCUCAAGGUUUCUUCCUCUUAAAACAUCUUAGGGAGUUUUUCCUUGCCACCGUCGCCACUCAGUGGCUCGCUCAGUUGGGAUAAAUUCACACCUUUUAAUAUCUGCAUACCGUGUUGAUAUUUCUGUAAAGCUGCUUUGAGACAAUGUCUAUUGUAAAAAGCGCUAUACAAAUAAAAUUGAAUUGAAUUGAAUUGAAGCUCACCUACAAGACCUUGUCUGGUACAGCAUCCCCCUACCUCAACUCUCUCCUGAAGACUUGCGUUCCCUUACGCAAUCCGCGACCGAAGUUUAGUAGUUCCCACUCAGCGCGGCACAAGGUCCCUUUCCAGAACCUUCACACUAACUGUUCCUCAGUGGUGGAAUGAACUUCCAACCUCAAUCUGGACCACAGAAUCUCUCACCAUCUUCAAAAAACAGCUAAAGACCCACCUCUUCCAUGAACACCUAACCAACUCGUAUUUAUUUUAAAAAAAAAUAUUGCACUUACACCUCUACUCUGUGCACUUUGCUUCUUCUGGAACUCAAUUAAUAGAUCUUGUGUGGUAACAUUCA